rnacentral:lncRNA from 1 species
GAGAGGGCAUAAAAAAACAUUAAAGAGAGACGUAGAAAUACCUAGGCGCCGCAACACUUCUUCCCCAUUUGUCUUAGUUCCUGACUCAUUUUCUCUGCCUAAGACCACCAUUUUAGCAUUGUAAAUUCACCAUUAAAUCAUCGAAUUUACUGCAAUCCACCCAUAAACCUUUUUUUUCAUUAAAAUAGUUAUGUAAACUCACUACUGCAAUAUCAUCUCCUCCAGUUGACCAUUACUUCAUUUUUCCUUCAUUAUUAAAGCCAUGGAUUUCGAUUUUGGAGAGAUCGAUUUUUAAUCAAAUUUCAACAAAUAUAUUUGAGUCUUUGCUGAAAUACAGUCCGGUUGAAGGUCAUAAUUUUGCUGAUUAUUCGAUUUUGGUGUAGGUUCCGUCCGUCGAGUUUCGAUUUCGGGUCCUUGUUCUUGGUCAAGUUUUGGUUAACGAGUCGGGUUUUGUUUAAUACAAUCGGAACAAAUUGUAGCUGCUUUGGGUCAUUCUAUUGGAGGUCCAUUUGAUUGAUUCAAAAGAAGAUCGCAGUUAUAAAGGUUAAUUUCGCUUCCCUUCACACAAUUAUUUGAAUAUUCUUGAGUGAGUUUCUGACUUAAUGUUGUUUGACAUGCUUUAGUUGUUUCGUUCACUAGUCUGGUUUUUUUUUUUAAAUUUGCUUAUUUUGUUCGAAAUUAGUUUGAUAACUUUAUAAGAAUAUUGUGUUGCUUGUUGUUUUUGUGAAUUAUUAAUUGUUCAGUAAAGUGGAAUUAGGCAGAACAAAGACAAACGGGCAGUGGAAGUUUGAACAUAAUUAAAGAGAAUUGGGCUUAAUAUGAUAUGCUUCGUUUCUGCUUCGUUACUAUUAGUUUCAUUAACGCUAGUAGCAUGUUAGGCCGAUAACACAUGUGUAGGCAAAUAUUAAGAUAUUUAUACAUAUUUAAUUUUGAGGCAACAUGUAAUUGAAGACCAAAGACGGCUGUAAGGCACUCUUUUGCGGUCCACAAUAGUGUGGCUGCAAGAUAAUCUUCUACGGCCACACAAAUCUUGUGUGGACCGCAAUUCGAGGAAACUCUGAACUUGGCUUUUUUGUCAACUCUCUGAUCUUGGAUCCGAACCUAGCUUUUGCGGCCGCACAAUUCAUAUGCGGUCCGCAAUUUGCUUAGAAGUCUGCUGAGUUUUUAUUCCUUAUUGCGGCCGCAGAUGGAAUUUUGCGGAUCGCGCAGUUUAGGCUUAUGUGCCUUUUAUUGCCUUGUGUUUAGACUACUCUUUUUAGUCGGAUUUCAUUUCGGGAGUCCAACAUCCAGCAUUUCUGCAAUUGCGCACAUUUUAUUAGUUUCGGGAAUACAAUUUCAAUGCUUUUAGACUAAAACAAAGCUAAAAGGCGCUAAUAAGUAGUCAAAAUUUUCACUUAUCAAUGCAUUUCAAUGCUUUUAUUUUUUAUUUUUGCAUUUUUCUUUUUGUUCUUUUCUUUUCUUGCCUUUCAUUCUCAUCAUUUCUUUUUCUCUUUUUGUGCCUUGAUACCUCUUUCAAGUUCCUCGUAUCUCCCCCAAACUUACGUUUUUAGCCACUUGUUUCACAAGAGUGUUAAGGAAAGUUCGAGUGCCAAGAGAGGGUCACGACAAAACGGGUAAAGACUUGUAACAUGGUUAUCAAAUGAGAAAGGCUCAAGGCUCAAAUGGGUUGACUAGGGAUAACAACAUUGGUAGGCAAUGAAAAAUUUAAAUUGGCCAAGGAAAGCCUACAAUCACUUCUCAAGCCAAGCAAAACUUAUGAUUUCACCUUGCAACACAUUCGGAGCAAGGUUUAGACCUUUCGCACGUGUACUUGGACUAACAACAAAGCAUUUCAC